rnacentral:rRNA from 1 species
CAGCCCUAAACGAUGCGCGUUAGGUGUAUCGGUGACCACGAGUCACCGAGGUGCCGAAGGGAAACCGUGAAACGUGCCGCCUGGGAAGUACGGUCGCAAGGCUGAAACUUAAAGGAAUUGGCGGGGGGAGCACCACAACGGGUGGAGCCUGCGGUUUAAUUGGACUCAACGCCGGGAAGCUCACCGGAUAAGACAGCGGAAUGAUUGCCGGGCUGAAGACCCUGCAUGACCAGCUGAGAGGUGGUGCAUGGCGUGUGACUGU